rnacentral:rRNA from 1 species
UACGGAGGGUGCGAGCGUUGUCCGGAAUCACUGGGCGUAAAGGGCGCGUAGGCGGCAUGCCAAGCGUGUGGUGAAAGCCCGGGGCUCAACCCCGGGUCGGCCGUGCGGACUGGCGUGCUCGAGCACUGUAGGGGCGGGUGGAAUUCCGGGUGUAGUGGUGAAAUGCGUAGAGAUCCGGAGGAACACCAGUGGCGAAGGCGGCUCGCUGGGCUCUACCUGACGCUGAGGCGCGAAAGCGUGGGGAGCGAACCGG